rnacentral:rRNA from 1 species
AGUGAACGCUGGCGGUAGGCCUAACACAUGCAAGUCGAACGGCAGCACAGUAAGAGCUUGCUCUUACGGGUGGCGAGUGGCGGACGGGUGAGGAAUACAUCGGAAUCUACUUUUUCGUGGGGGAUAACGUAGGGAAACUUACGCUAAUACCGCAUACGACCUACGGGUGAAAGCAGGGGAUCUUCGGACCUUGCGCGAGUGAAUGAGCCGAUGUCGGAUUAGCUAGUUGGCGGGGUAAAGGCCCACCAAGGCGACGAUCCGUAGCUGGUCUGAGAGGAUGAUCAGCCACACUGGAACUGAGGCACGGUCCAGACUCCUACGGGAGGCAGCACUGGGGAAUAUUGGACAAUGGGCGCAAGCCUGAUCCAGCCAUACCGCGUGGGUGAAGAAGGCCUUCGGGUUGUAAAGCCCUUUUGUUGGGAAAGAAAAGCAGCAGGUUAAUACCCCGCUGUUCUGACGGUACCCAAAGAAUAAGCACCGGCUAACUUCGUG